GAGUCUGUGGCCUGGAUUGAUAUUACCGUAGCCGUGGACUCAUAAUCCAUUGGUCGCGGGUUCGAGCCCCGCCCGCCCCA
rnacentral:tRNA from 1 species